rnacentral:rRNA from 1 species
UGAACGCUGGCGGCGUGCCUAAUACAUGCACGUCGAGCGAACAGACGAGGAGCUUGCUCCUCUGACGUUAGCGGCGGACGGGUGAGUAACACGUGGAUAACCUACCUAUAAGACUGGGAUAACUUCGGGAAACCGGAGCUAAUACCGGAUAAUAUAUUGAACCGCAUGGUUCACUAGUGAAAGACGGUUUUGCUGUCACUUAUAGAUGGAUCCGCGCCGCAUUAGCUAGUUGGUAAGGUAACGGCUUACCAAGGCAACGAUGCGUAGCCGACCUGAGAGGGUGAUCGGCCACACUGGAACUGAGACACGGUCCAGACUCCUACGGGAGGCAGCAGUAGGGAAUCUUCCGCAAUGGGCGAAAGCUUGACGGAGCAACGCCGCGUGAGUGAUGAAGGUCUUCGGAUCGUAAAACUCUGUUAUUAGGGAAGAACAAAUGUGUAAGUAACUAUGCACGUCUUGACGGUACCUAAUCAGAAAGCCACGGCUGACUACGUG